AUGCAGUCGACGCUUCUUUCCUCCCGAGUGCUUGCACUCAAUUGGAAAGAGGAGUGGCGGACGGGUGAGUAACACGUGGGUAACCUACCCAUCAGAGGGGGAUAACACUUGGAAACAGGUGCUAAUACCGCAUAACAGUUUAUGCCGCAUGGCAUAAGAGUGAAAGGCGCUUUCGGGUGUCGCUGAUGGAUGGACCCGCGGUGCAUUAGCUAGUUGGUGAGGUAACGGCUCACCAAGGCCACGAUGCAUAGCCGACCUGAGAGGGUGAUCGGCCACACUGGGACUGAGACACGGCCCAGACUCCUACGGGAGGCAGCAGUAGGGAAUCUUCGGCAAUGGACGAAAGUCUGACCGAGCAACGCCGCGUGAGUGAAGAAGGUUUUCGGAUCGUAAAACUCUGUUGUUAGAGAAGAACAAGGACGUUAGUAACUGAACGUCCCCUGACGGUAUCUAACCAGAAAGCCACGGCUAACUACGUGCCAGCAGCCGCGGUAAUACGUAGGUGGCAAGCGUUGUCCGGAUUUAUUGGGCGUAAAGCGAGCGCAGGCGGUUUCUUAAGUCUGAUGUGAAAGCCCCCGGCUCAACCGGGGAGGGUCAUUGGAAACUGGAGACUUGAGUGCAGAGAGGAGAGUGGAAUUCCAUGUGUAGCGGUGAAAUGCGUAGAUUU
rnacentral:rRNA from 1 species